AGCUCAACUUUGAAAUCUGGCACCUUCGGUGUCCGAAUUGUAGUCUCAAGAAGUGUUUUCUGUGCCGGUCCAUGUAUGAGUCUGUUGGAACACAGCGUCAUAGAGGGUGACAACCCCGUUCAUGACAUGGAUACCGGUGCUCUGUGAUACACUCUCGAAGAGUCGAGUUGUUUGGGAAUGCAGCUCAAAUUGGGUGGUAAAUUCCAUCUAAAGCUAAAUAUUGGCGAGAGACCGAUAGCAAACAAGUACCGUGAGGGAAAGAUGAAAAGCACUUUGGAAAGAGAGUUAACAGUACGUGAAAUUGUUGAAAGGGAAACGAUUGAAGUCAGACGUGCGUGAUGCGGUUCAGCCUUGGUUCGCCAGGGUGUAUUCCGUAUCUUUGCAGGCCAACAUCAGUUUCGAUAGUCGGAUAAAGAUUAGUUGAAUGUGGCACCCUCGGGUGUGUUAUAGCUUCUAAUUGAAUACGAUUGUUGGGACUGAGGAACGCAGCGCGCCGC
rnacentral:rRNA from 1 species